rnacentral:rRNA from 1 species
UGGGGAAUAUUGCGCAAUGGGCGAAAGCCUGACGCAGCGACGCCGCGUGAGGGAUGAAGGUUUUCGGAUCGUAAAACUCUGUUGUUAGAGAAGAACAAGGAUGAGAGUAGAAUGUUCAUCCCUUGACGGUAUCUAACCAGAAAGCCACGGCUAACUACGUGCCAGCAGCCGCGGUAAUACGUAGGUGGCAAGCGUUGUCCGGAUUUAUUGGGCGUAAAGCGAGCGCAGGCGGUUUCUUAAGUCUGAUGUGAAAGCCCCCGGCUCAACCGGGGAGGGUCAUUGGAAACUGGGAAACUUGAGUGCAGAAGAGGAGAGUGGAAUUCCAUGUGUAGCGGUGAAAUGCGUAGAUAUAUGGAGGAACACCAGUGGCGAAGGCGGCUCUCUGGUCUGUAACUGACGCUGAGGCUCGAAAGCGUGGGGAGCAAACAGG